GGUGAUACACAUGGGAUAUUUUCUCAGAUUUUCCAUGGAUGACUUUAUGUGCCUGCAAAUAUUCCUGUUACGUUAGCUUGUGCUAGAUGGUGACGUGGUGGUGCCACCAGAUCAUGGUGUUGGCGUGUUGCUUCAGGGUUAUUCUGUUUCUUCACAGGAAGUUUCAGAAAUGAUGACUAGCUAUAAUCUGUUUUUGGAGAUAGUUUGUCUGGGUUUCUCUAAGGCCUUGUUUGGUUGGAAGGGAUUUAAUCCACUAGUGGAAUCAAUCCACCUAGAAAUUGGGCUGAUCCCUGCUUGUUACCCAAUCCACUGCAAACCAAUCCAUACCAAACCCACCUCUUCAGAUCUCAUUUGGUUCUCCCAUACUUAGUUCUGAGUUAUAAAUGACACAGAGCAACAUGUUUGGACAUAGCAUUUGAACAACAUACACAAUACUAUCAUAUACGAAAAUGAUCUGCACCAUAUAACAAGAUGGCAACAAGAAUGCAGCACUAACAUGAAUAAACUGGUAAACAACCAUCUCGAAACGAUACGAGACACCAUCUCCAAUUACAUAUCAUCCUUGAUAAUUCAGUACAAAUUACUCAGGACUUUUGUGAUCCACUCCACAAAUAAAUACACAAGAACUUGUGUUCCUUGAUUGUGCACUUCUCGCCGAUGUAGGUAUCAAUACAAGAACUUGCUGAGACCCUUGUUCUUCAGGUGGCAUUUCUGGUUCAAGUAAAACAGAAUAAGGGUCAUGAACUCAUCAUUAAACAGACCCCAUCAUUUCUACAGGAUGCAUCACAACAUGAGACCAAUUUUGCAAGGCAAGAAACCAUGCAAACUUUGAGGAUGCAUAAUAACUUCCAAGUUGAAGAGAACAACCAUACAAAAUAAAAGGAAGGCUUAAUCCCCAGUUCCCCACCAUACCAAAACAACCAUAAUAACUUUGAAGUUGAAGAGAUGUUCAGUUUUGUUCUACGUCUAGAUUGCUAGAGCCCAAGUAACCCAUGUUUAAUCUUACUAGAAGUGUUAGCGGAUCGGAAACCUACCCAUCCACCAAUAGCAUCCAUGCAUUCCUUGCAUAUUCAUUAGGAUAUAUAUCCACAUACAAUUUGAACAGCAGCCAAGAAUAGUAUAACUGCAAGAAAACGCAGGGGACAAACUGCGGUUUAAUGGUGUGUUUGGUUGGAGGGAUAUCCUCUCAGGGACAGGGAUAACCACUUUUUUCUGUGGUUGCCAUGCGUUUGGAUCUGGGGCGAGGAGGGACAGAGUCAACCAGAUGCUGGGAAUAUUCUCAAAAAAAAGGGAUGUGGCCAACUGCCAAAAACGGGCGGGCGGUGGCAACCACUCUGGGGCAGCCGGUGUGGCAGGGCGGGAGGCGGCCGGCGCGGCCGUUGCGGGAGGUGGCCGGCGCGGGAGGGUGGCCGGCGCGGGAGGGUGGCCGGCGCGGGCGCGGCCGUCGCGGGAGGUGGUCGUUGCGGGCACGGCCAGCGCGGGAGGUGGCCGGCGCGGGAGGUGGCCGGCGCGGUUUUCCAGCCACCUGGUUAUCCAUCCUCCCAACCACCCUAGCCAAACAAAAAAAAGGAUAACCCUACCCUUACAACCAAACAAAAAAAGGGCUAUCCCCAGCCACCUGGUUGGGGAUACCCACAACCACCCUAGCCUAUCCCUCCAACCAAACACACCCUAAAUUUGCAAAGACAAGUAACCGAGUCAACCUAUUAUAGCAGCCAUUAAUAAUGCAGUCUUGCUCAAUGUGUGUGUCCAACUACUAGUCACAAUACUACAAGGACAGUGGAGAAGACAUACAUGCAGUAAUUCAUUUUCUCUAACAUAACCUACAGAGAUCAGAUGGAGAGCAACUGUACUAGAGGCCUACAAACAUGCACAUAGGUGAAAGUCCAGAAAUUCCAAGUCCCAACAUAUCUUUAGACAUGAGAACCUAACAAGUGUCCAAACAAAACAGUAGACAAAAGCAAAUAGAUCUGCACAUAUUUAAUACUGGACUACAUGUCAGCUUAGAAACAUUUACCUUCUGUGAGUUUUGGUUACCAUCUGACUACAAAUAGACAUGUGUGUGUUUGAUCUUAUCAUUGUUCUUGCAACUAGUCACAGCCAGAUCCUUCUACAUACACAACUAUCAUCACUUCCUCGUCCAAGAAAUGCAAAGACAAUUACUAGAGACAUGACAGAUUUGGAGCCAUGUGCGGGUGUUUGAUCUACAUGGGAACCUAACAAGUCUCCACAUGAGAACCUAAUUUGGAGCCACACAGAUUUGACAAAACAACUACUAUUCCAUCACAGAAGGAAUGAAACGGAAGCCAUAGCCGCCUUGUCCGCCGCCGGCGACGGUGUUGGGGUGCAGCAGGAGGAGAGGGAAGGGAGGAUUCUGUUAGGAAAGCAACUUAUCUCUAUUGAUGGCCCAAGGGGCAUAUAUAUAUUACACAAGACUUGAGGUGCAAGGAAAGUAAACAUAGACUAAUAAGGACUCCUAGACCAAUACUAAUAC
rnacentral:lncRNA from 1 species